rnacentral:misc_RNA from 1 species
GGUAACAGAUAAAUACUGGAGGCUUAACAUUCAUGAGCCGAUAAUUUGGGCUUUUAUAGAUUUCUAUAACAAUCUUCAACUGGAUCGCCUACCAAACAGUUCUAGUGUCAGCCAGGUUGAUCCUGAAAUACGUGUGGACUUGAUUGAUAUAUCUGAACUAAGACUGAAGUUGUCAUUAGAGAGUGCACCUGCUCAAAGACCAGAUGGGGUUCUAGGCGUAUGGGGCCCAGUACUGUCGGCUGUCGGAAAUGCCUUUAAAUUACAGAUCCAUUUAAGAAAAGUGAUUCGCAGAGACAGAUUUAUGAGAAAAAGUUCCGUCAUUUCUGCAGUGGGAAACCGUAUUUUUAGAGAUUUAAUUCAUAACCCUCUGCAUUUAAUAUUUUCAGUGGAUGUGCUGGGUAUGACAAGCUCAACUUUAGCCUCUCUCAGCAAAGGCUUU